UGGUGGUAACGGGUAACGGGGUGUUAGGGCACGACACCGGAGAGGGAGCCUGAGAAACGGCUACCACAUCCAAGGAUGGCAGCAGGCGCGCAAAUUACCCAAUCCCGACACGGGGAGGUAGUGACAAUAAAUAACAAUACGGGGUUCUUUCGGAUCUCGUAAUUGGAAUGAGUACAAUUUAAAUCUCUUAACGAGGAACAAUUGGAGGGCAAGUCUGGUGCCAGCAGCCGCGGUAAUUCCAGCUCCAAUAGCGUAUAUUAAAGUUGUUGCAGUUAAAAAGCUCGUAGUUGAAUUUCGGGGUUAGUAGGCUGGUCAUGCCUCUGGUAUGUACUGGUCUCACUGAUUCCUCCUUCCUGAUGAACCGUAAUGCCACUAAUUUGGUGUUGCGGGGAAUUUGGACUGUUACUUUGAAAAAAUUAGAGUGUUUAAAGCAAGCUAACGCUUGAAUACAUUAGCAUGGAAUAAUGAAAUAGGACGUUCGAUCCUAUUUUGUUGGUUUCUAGGAUUGACGUAAUGAUUAAUAGGGAUAGUUGGGGGCAUUAGUAUUCAAUUGUCAGAGGUGAAAUUCUUGGAUUUAUUGAAGACUAACUACUGCGAAAGCAUUUGCCAAGGAUGUUUUCAUUAAUCAAGAACGAAAGUUAGGGGAUCGAAGACGAUCAGAUACCGUCGUAGUCUUAACCAUAAACUAUGCCGACUAGGGAUCGGAUGAUGUUAAUUUUUUAAUGACUCAUUCGGCGCCUUACGGGAAACCAAAGUGUUUGGGUUC
rnacentral:rRNA from 1 species